rnacentral:rRNA from 1 species
UUGGAGGGCAAGUCUGGUGCCAGCAGCCGCGGUAAUUCCAGCUCCAAUAGCGUAUAUUAAAGUUGUUGCAGUUAAAAAGCUCGUAGUUGAAUUUCGGGAUCAAUUUAUUGGUCGUGCUAUUGUACGUACUGGUAUUAUUGAUUCCUACCUUCUGACGAACCAUGAUGUCAUUAAUUUGGUGUCAUGGGGAAUCAGGACUGUUGCUUUGAAAAAAUUAGAGUGUUUAAAGCAGGCUCACGCUUGAAUACAUUAGCAUGGAAUAACGAAAUAGGACGUUUGAUUCUAUUUUGUUGGUUUCUAGGAUCGACGUAUGAUUAAUAGGGAUAGUUGGGGGCAUUAGUAUUCAAUUGUCAGAGGUGAAAUUCUUGGAUUUAUUGAAGACUAACUACUGCGAAAGCAUUUGCCAAGGAUGUUUUCAUUAAUCAAGAACGAAAGUUAGGGGAUCGAAGACGAUCAGAUACCGUCGUAGUCUUAACCAUAAACUAUGCCGACUAGGGAUCGGAUGAUGUUAAUUUUUUAAUGACUCAUUCGGCGCCUUACGGGAAAC